GAUGAAGAACGUAGUGAAAUGAGAUAAGUAAUGUGAAUUGCAGAAUCUAGUGAAUCAUCGAAUCUUUGAACGCACAUUGCGCCCGCCAGUAUUCUGGCGGGCAUGCCUGUUCGAGCGUCAUUUCAACCAUCAAGCCCCCGGCUUGUGUUGGGGACCUGCGGCUGCCGCAGGCCCUGAAAAGCAGUGGCGGGCUCGCUGUCACACCGAGCGUAGUAGCAUACAUCUCGCUCUGGGCGUGCUGCGGGUUCCGGCCGUUAAACCACCUUCAUAACCCAAGGUUGACCUCGGAUCAGGCAGGAAGACCCGCUGAACUUAAGCAUAUCAAUAAGCGGAGGA
rnacentral:misc_RNA from 1 species